rnacentral:rRNA from 1 species
CAGCAUCAGUUUUCCCCGGGGGAUAAAGUUCGAGGGAAUGUGGCAUCUUCGGAUGUGUUAUAGCCUUCGUUCGUAUACAAGCGGUUGGGACUGAGGAACUCAGCACGCCGAAAGGCCGGGUUUUUAACCACGUACGUGCUUAGGAUGCUGGCAUAAUGGCUUUAAUCGA